GCCUGGGUGGCUCAGUCGGUUGAGCAUCCGACUUCAGCUCAGGUCACGAUCUCGCGGUUCGUGGGUUCGAGCCCCGUGUCGGGCU
rnacentral:tRNA from 1 species